UGGGGAAUAUUGGACAAUGGGCGCAAGCCUGAUCCAGCCAUGCCGCGUGAGUGACGAAGGCCUUAGGGUUGUAAAGCUCUUUUGGCGGGGACGAUAAUGACGGUACCCGCAGAAUAAGCCCCGGCUAACUUCGUGCCAGCAGCCGCGGUAAUACGAAGGGGGCUAGCGUUGUUCGGAAUUACUGGGCGUAAAGCGCACGUAGGCGGAUUUGUAAGUCAGGGGUGAAAUCCCGGGGCUCAACCUCGGAACUGCCUUUGAUACUGCAAGUCUCGAGUCCGAUAGAGGUGAGUGGAAUUCCUAGUGUAGAGGUGAAAUUCGUAGAUAUUAGGAAGAACACCAGUGGCGAAGGCGGCUCACUGGAUCGGUACUGACGCUGAGGUGCGAAAGCGUGGGGAGCAAACA
rnacentral:rRNA from 1 species